UGUGUAGGCGGUCUUCUAAGUUUGGUGUGAAAUCUCCCGGCUCAACUGGGAGGGUGCGCCGAAUACUGAAAGACUAGAGUGCGGGAGAGGAUAGUGGAAUUCCUGGUGUAGCGGUGAAAUGCGUAGAUAUCAGGAGGAACACCGGUGGUGUAGACGGCUAUCUGGACCGUAACUGACGCUGAGACACGAAAGCGUGGGUAGCAAACAGGAUUAGAUACCCUGGUAGUCCACGCCCUAAACGAUGCAUAUUUGGUGUGGGCAGUUCAGUCUGUCCGUGCCGGAGCUAACGCGUUAAAUAUGCCGCCUGGGGAGUACAGUCGCAAGGCUGAA
rnacentral:rRNA from 1 species